rnacentral:lncRNA from 1 species
GGGGAAAUGAGUGCCUUGGUCCUGAAGCGCACAUGAUGGAGUCUCACUUUGUCACCCAGGCUGUAGUACAGUGGCGUGAUCUUGGCUCACUGCAACCUCCGCCUCCUGGGUUCAAGCAAUUCUCCUGCCUCAGCCUCCCAAGUAGCUUGGAUUACAGGCAUGCACCACCACACCCGGCUAAUUUUUGUAUUUUUAGUAGAGACGAGGUUUCGCCAUGUUUGCCAGGCUGGUCUUGAACUCCUGACCUCAGGUGAUCACCCACCUCAGCCUCCCAAAGUGCUAGGAUUACAGGUGUGAGCCACUGCACCCAGCCACAAUGCAACUUUUAAAAAAUGAAAUAAUUAUUAGCUUUUCUGGAAAAGCUUUAUCUCUUUUAACCUAUGAAAAGUAUUAAUAUUUGUCAUAAAAAAAGCUUUUGCAUUUUUUAGAAGAAACAGUGCUUCAUUUCUAUUAUAAAAGGAAAUUGUAGAAUAUUGUGAGACUCACCUGUGAAUGCUAUUUAUAUAGACACUAUAAUUUUAACACUGUAUAUGAAUAGAACCAAAGAAGAUUAAAUGAUUGUGCAUUUGUGUAGGGUGUAUUUGAGUUGGGGGACGGAGACUGGUUGGGGUUUGAGGAGUGGUUAAGAAAACUAAAUCUUAUCUUCAAUAGUAGGAAGUCAAUAGAUAAUAUUCAAAACUGAAAAAGAAAAACAAAACUUAAAUAGCAGAAAAAUCUGCUUAUUUGAAAAUAUGGAUGUAAAUACCAGUAAAAACUGCUUAAACUGUUGGAAAUUUUUUACUUUGGAAAUGGGAAUCAGAAGCUAGAAAGUGCAAAGCUGUAGAUUGCUGUUAUAAGCUAGUAGAACUCAGCAUAAAGUGAAUAUGUAUGACUUUGACAAAAAUAAAAAUAAAAAUUUUAAAUAAGAACUAUUUUUCAAUUUUUUCUCAAAUUACAUUAUUGUUUUUUAUUAGAAUUGAAUUGAGUUUAUAGAAAGAUAAUUUAAGGAGAACUGACAUCUUUCUAAUUCUGAGUAUUUUCCUCUAGAAACAUGGUUGAGACUUCUUUUCUAUUCUCAAAAAAAGUUUAUCAUUUUCUUGUUAUAAGUCCUGUGAAUUUUCUGUUAUUUUUGCCUGGGCCUGCUAUAUCAUUUUUGCUAUUAUAAUGACAUCCUUUUCCAUUAUAUACAUAUGAUAACUGGCUGUUUCUAGUGUGCAGGAAAGCUCUAUAUUUUUCUUGUAACUUGACACCUGACCAAAUGCCUCUCUCUAUCUCCUAAUACUUUUUCAACUCAUUAUCUUCAGUUUUCUAUGUAGAG